rnacentral:rRNA from 1 species
UACGUAGGGGGCAAGCGUUGUCCGGAUUUAUUGGGCGUAAAGAGCGUGUAGGCGGCCAAACAGGUCCGUUGUGAAAACUGGAGGCUUAACCUCCAGACGUCGACGGAAACCGUGUGGCUAGAGUCCGGAAGAGGAGAGUGGAAUUCCUGGUGUAGCGGUGAAAUGCGCAGAUAUCAGGAAGAACACCAAUGGCGAAGGCAGCUCUCUGGGACGGUACUGACGCUGAGACGCGAAAGCGUGGGGAGCGAACAGG